UACGUAGGUGGCAAGCGUUGUCCGGAUUUACUGGGCGUAAAGAGCGCGCAGGCGGUCGGCCAAGUCGAGUGUGAAAGCCCCCGGCUCAACUGGGGAGGGUCAUUCGAUACUGGUCGACUCGAAGGCAGGAGAGGGAAGCGGAAUUCCCGGUGUAGUGGUGAAAUGCGUAGAUAGUCGGGAGGAACACCAGUGGCGAAGGCGGCUUCCUGGCCUGUAACUGACGCUG
rnacentral:rRNA from 1 species